GUGAGGAAUAUUGGUCAAUGGGCGGAAGCCUGAACCAGCCAAGUAGCGUGCAGGAUGACGGCCCUACGGGUUGUAAACUGCUUUUAUGCGGGGAUAACCGCCGGGACGUGUCCCGGCCUGCAGGUACCGCAUGAAUAAGGACCGGCUAAUUCCGUGCCAGCAGCCGCGGUAAUACGGAAGGUCCGGGCGUUAUCCGGAUUUAUUGGGUUUAAAGGGUGCGCAGGCGGGAUGUCAAGUCAGCCGUAAAAUUUCCGGGCCCAACCCGGUCGUGCGGUUGAAACUGGCGUCCUUGAGUGCGGCGGAGGGAGCCGGAAUUCGUGGUGUAGCGGUGAAAUGCAUAGAUAUCACGAGGAACUCCGAUUGCGAAGGCAGGCUCCCGUGCCGCCACUGACGCUCAUGCACGAAGGCGCGGGUAUCAAACAGGAUUAGAAACCCUAGUAGUCC
rnacentral:rRNA from 1 species